GGGGCUGUAGCUCAUAGGCAGAGUGCUUGCCUGGCAUGCAUGAGGCACUGGAUUCAAUCCUCAGCACCA
rnacentral:tRNA from 1 species